UGGGACUCAAUAAUGUGUCAUGCAAUGGACGAUGGAAGGGUUGGGCUUUAAAGGCGCAAAUGAAUGAGAGAGAGAGAGAGUUAGUUUAUUUGAUCUCUCUUUUUCUGUUUCAUCACUCAGAACCUUUUCUCUCUCUAUGAUGAACAAACACACAAACCCAAAAAAAGAGCGGUGAUGGAUCUAGGCCGGUGGUUUUCAAGAACACACACGGUGAAACUUAUGAAGAUCCACGAUGACGUUCAUCAUGUAGCCUUCGAACCACCACCGUCCAUCAAAAUAACACCCCCCUUAUGUUUUCAACCCUUAUGAGUCCAAAUUUGGACUCAAAAAUACCAAAAAAAACCUAAAAAUCCCAGAAUCAAACUUACAUAAGCGAAAACCCUAAUUUCCCAAAAAUAAUUCAAACAACCUCAUACAACACAAUACACCAAAAUUGACAAGGGGGGAAGGUUAACAAGCAUUAGACAACAAUGGACAUGUAGGAAAGAAUAUAAAGUUAGUAGAACAUUACCAAACCAUACGUUACCGGCGUGAAACUCCCCACGAUAAGUUCUUUUCUCUUUCUCUGUAUUUUUCAAUGCUUCUUUUGACUCAAUAAAUCUCCGCUUAUACUCUUCUUUUGCUUAUGAUUUUUUGUUUCUUUGUUGGGAUUGUUGUUUCUUAUGUGGUCUUAGCUCAGUUGUAUUAGAGCUUCUGAGAUGAAGCUCUAAGCAACUAAAGAAAUAUGAACAUUGAGUGAUUUUUAUAGGUUUAGGGAUUUGUGUAUUUACUUUCUAAUUCUCAGCUUAGGGUUUCUUUUGUUGUGUGAAAAAAUUAGUACACUAUAUAACACUAGGGGAGUGAGGAGAUACCUGUGUGAGCUACACAAAUUUUCUUUCAAGUGUGUAAGAAUUGGGAAAUUUGGAUAAGAAUGAAAUGGUGAGCUAUUAGAUGGAUUUGCAAUCAUCCAUGAUUUUGUGGGAUAUUAAUGAGUGUAGGAAAGAAUCGUGAGUGGCCUUGUGCAAUAUUUUGAAUGAAGUUUUCUUUUGUUUUCAUUGAUGCAGUAAGUUUAUUUUUUUAAAAUGCAUUUCCCUCUUCUUUUUUUUACCAUAGUAACUUAUUUUUACUUUGAUGAAAACGAAUUUUCCCUUUUAUUUGAAUUAUGCUACAUUAUUGUUGCCUUGCCAGGUUUUGGUUGUGUAGCUUGGCAAUAAAAAAAAUGUUACAGUGCCUUGUUGUGGUUAUUUUGGAUGAUGAGCAUGGCAUGGCAGAGUGAAUCCAAGUGUGAGAUCGAGUGGUUAGAAGCUUUCUUGGUGGUGAAGAAAAGAUGGAUCAUAUGGAUUUUAAAGGUGGACUAGGAUCAAUGGAGCAAUGAAUUGGAUCAUGUGGAAGCUUAGGGGAUAUUUGCACAACUAGCUUUUAAGCCAUGUUUUUAUGUUUUAUAAUGCAGUAUGGUGCUUAGGUUUUAAAUGCAGAGAAACUUAAAAUGUACAAAUGUAAAUGUUAAGUUUUUUGUUGUAAUUUUAAUAGAUAUAAUGUGUAUUUUUUGUAACAUUUGAAAUGAAAAAAGGAGAAUGUAUCA